UGAGGAAUCUUGCACAAUGGGCGAAAGCCUGAUGCAGCGACGCCGCGUGGAGGAUGAAGGUCUUCGGUUUGUAAACUCCUGUUAAACGGGAAGAAAGAUCUGUUUCUAAUACAAGCAGAUUAUGACGGUACCGUUAGAGAAAGCACCGGCUAACUUCGUGCCAGCAGCCGCGGUAAUACGAGGGGUGCAAGCGUUAUUCGGAUUGAUUGGGUGUAAAGGGUGUGCAGACGGCUUAUUAAGUCACUUGUUAAAUUCUUCGGCCUAACUGAAGGUCUGCAAGUGAUACUGAUGAGCUAGAGGGUGGAAGAGAGAAGUGGAAUUCUCGGAGUAGCGGUAAAAUGCGUAGAUCUCGAGAGGAACACCAAUGGCGAAGGCAGCUUCUUGGUCCAUUCCUGACGUUCAUACACGAAAGCGUGGGGAGCAAACA
rnacentral:rRNA from 1 species